GGACGCGAGGGCAAUCUGCCUGUGGUAUCUGUCACCCCAUUGUUCUCCAGGGUUGAAUCUGCUGCUCUGGCUAAGGCAGGUGUCACCUUCCUCCAUCACCACUCCCCAUGCAUCCCUCCUGUAUCUGUGCUGUGCAUGAGAGGUUGGCCUUCACCAAUGGAGAAGAACCAAUCUUCUUGUUCCUUGGCUGGAGUCUCCAAACUCUCACAAGUAGCCACAACAAAGGUGCUGCAGUGUCUGUCUGUCUGCAACCU
rnacentral:snRNA from 1 species